rnacentral:rRNA from 1 species
GAUGAACGCUGGCGGCGUGCCUAAUACAUGCAAGUCGAGCGAAUGGAUUAAAAGCUUGCUCUUAUGAAGUUAGCGGCGGACGGGUGAGUAACACGUGGGUAACCUGCCCAUAAGACUGGGAUAACUCCGGGAAACCGGGGCUAAUACCGGAUAACAUUUUGAACCGCAUGGUUCGAAAUUGAAAGGCGGCUUCGGCUGUCACUUAUGGAUGGACCCGCGUCGCAUUAGCUAGUUGGUGAGGUAACGGCUCACCAAGGCAACGAUGCGUAGCCAGCCUGAGAGGGUGGUCGGCCACACUGGGACUGAGACACGGCCCAGACUCCUACGGGAGGCAGCAGUAGGGAAUCUUCCGCAAUGGACGAAAGUCUGACGGAGCAACGCCGCGUGAAUGAUGAAGGCUUUCGGGUCGUAAAACUCUGUUGUUAGGGAAGAACAAGUGCUAGUUGAAUAAGCUGGCACCUUGACGGUACCUAACCAGAAAGUCACGGCUAACUACGUGCCAGCAGCCGCCGUAA